rnacentral:rRNA from 1 species
AUUGAACGCUGGCGGCAGGCCUAACACAUGCAAGUCGAACGGUAGCACAGGAGAGCUUGCUCUCUGGGUGACGAGUGGCGGACGGGUGAGUAAGGCAUGGGGAGCUGCCCAAUCGAGGGGGAUACCAGCUGGAAACGGCUGCUAAUACCGCAUACGCCCUGCGGGGGAAAGGUGGGGACCUUCGGGCCUACCGCGAUUGGAUGCACCCAUGUGGGAUUAGCUGGUUGGUGAGGUAACGGCUCACCAAGGCGACGAUCUCUAGCUGGUCUGAGAGGAUGACCAGCCACACUGGAACUGAGACACGGUCCAGACUCCUACGGGAGGCAGCAGUGGGGAAUAUUGCACAAUGGGGGAAACCCUGAUGCAGCCAUGCCGCGUGUGAGAAGAAGGCCUUCGGGUUGUAAAGCACUUUCAGUGGGGAGGAAGGGGCGAUGCCUAAUACGCAUUGUCAUUGACGUUACCCACAGAAGAAGCACCGGCUAACUCCGUGCCAGCCGCCGCGGUAA